AUACGGAGGGUGCAAGCGUUAAUCGGAAUUACUGGGCGUAGAGCGUACGUAGGCGGUUAUUUAAGUCAGAUGUGAAAGCCCCGGGCUUAACUUGGGAACUGCAUUUGAAACUGGGUAACUAGAGUUUAGUAGAGGGGAGUGGAAUUUCAGGUGUAGCGGUGAAAUGCGUAGAGAUCUGAAGGAACACCAGUGGCGAAGGCGACUCCCUGGACUAAAACUGACGCUGAGGUACGAAAGCGUGGGUAGCAAACAGGAUUAGAAACCCGGGUAGUCC
rnacentral:rRNA from 1 species